AAGAGUCAGUCUCUCUAGCGCUACAAUUAGAUUCAACGAGAGAGAAGAGUGCUGUGAUGGGAAGACUUUCAUUCUCAGACAUUAUUUCUAUCUGGGCAUUUUGAAAAGAUAAAGGGCUUGUUGUCAUUAUGCCUCCAUCUGACAACUUGGUCAAUGUAUCCUUCAUGAAGCUCAGCUUGAAUAGGGAAAAACAAGGGAAUUGCGAGGGUACAUUUCUUCUUCUGAUGGCAGGACUCUAAUCGUUCUGCCUUGUUGUCUUUAGGCAAGGAAGGGAGAAGACAGGAAGAGGAAGAAGAGAGAACGUAAAAGGGGCCUUUGGAUAGGCUGAUGCUAUGGAGUUGGAAUCUUAAGCUGGAGGAUGAGCCAAUCAAAGUCAUAAAGGGAAGCCAUAUGUCACACACUUGGAAGUCCAUGUAUAAACAUCAAGUUGAGAGUGGCAGAGGCAAUUUCAAGACCAAGAUCUCGGCACUAAGGUUAGAGUGGCAAAAAUCAAGACUUGAGUGAGUGGAAAACACAUGGGGAAGUGGCGGGGAUGGUUCCUGAAGAGGUGGGGUGGGAGAGGCCUCAGAGUGUCAGUGCUGUGUGAACACUCUCUAGGCGAGCUGUGCUCAGCUGCGGUGUCCUGGCCAUGAGGGCCUCUGACUCCUGGCAGCAAACUGGACGGCAGUUGAGGCUGCUGAGCAUGCCCUCAGAGUAGCAAAGACAUUUAUAGGAUCCUCUGUGCAGGAUACAAUUACUGUCCUUUACACUGCCCCGCAACAGUUGGUUUGUAAGAAAACAUUUCCCAAAAUUUUAAGCCCUGGGUAUGCACAGAUACCUAGAGCUCUGACGUAAAACCGUAUGACUCUUCUACAGGAAGACAAGAAAUUGGCCGAUGAUGCCAUGGUGGUGGUCAUUGGAGGCACCUGUGGUCAAAGGGCAUGUGCAAACCCCUGCUUUGACCUUUAUUCCUCAGCAGAGCAGAAGACACUUCUGCUCACAAAGCUGUGUGUGUCCUGCUUCAACAUCACAGCCACAAUUUAAGGGAACAAAAACGGUCUAAUUAUGUCUGAGUCUUGAGAUGGGACUCUGGGAACUAUGAGUGUUUAUUAAAAUGUUGACUACUAAUUUCUUGAGUAGGGUGGGGCAGGAGUGGUGACUGACUCAAGCAUAGGACAAGUGAGUGACUGGGACCAACAAUUGAUUUUUUGAGACUAGCUCUACUCAAAAAAAAGGAUAGCAAAGCAAGAAGGCAGGUCAAAUCAGAAACACUAUGGAAAUUCCAAGGGUGACAGCAGGGAUAUCACACACAUACGACACAUGAAGAGGGCCUGGGGAAGGACUAGGUUAGGAAACAGAUCAGUGGCAAAGUCAGUAGAGACAAGGAAGGAAGAGAGUCGUAUGAUGGUAUGGGGAGGCAGAGAGAUGUGCUAUCAAUUGCCAGAAUAAUCUGAAAUGCAAUUUAUUAAUUCAGUACCUCAUUCAGUUAUUCAAGAAGUGUUCAUUCAUUCAUUCAAAAAUAUUUAAGUUCCUAAAGUGUUCUCAGUUCUGAGUCCAAAUCUUGGGAUGCAAUACCACCAGGACCCAGACACCAACAUGGUGCGGUAGGUCUAUGACUUGAAAGAGCAUUUUGAGAACAUAGAGGGAAGAGAAGCCGUCCUAUUGGCAGAGAAAGCUGAGUUGAGUUUCAAGGGCAAGUAGCAGUUAAGUGGAGGACGCGUGCCUGAGGCAAUGGCCGGUUGGCAAGCAUGCCGACAGUACAUUGGGGGAGCCAUAUGGCAUCAGACUCGUUGGGGCAUACGGUGUUAGGUGGGGUGAUGGCGAGCAGUGAAGAUUCCAGUAAAAGCAAGGGCUGUAACUUGAGGGGCCUCCUAAGUCAUGGUACAGACUUUGGACUUUAUUCUAAAAGCCAUGGAGAGCUACUAGAAGGGCUUUUAGCAAGAGAAACUCAAUUUGAGCUGUGCUGGGAAGGAUCACUCAGGCUACAGGCUGCAUGAUUUAGGGCUGAGACUGGGAGGAGCCGGCCUGGAAGGUGGCUGUUGAAAAACGGAUAGAUAGGAGAGAGAUUUGGUUGUCAAAAUGAUGGGGCUUGGUUAUUGGCCAGAGACUUGGGGAAGACAGAGGAAGCAAAAACAAGUUGUACGUUUCUGGAUCGGAUAACUGAGGGUGGAUGGUGUAGUUAUUUGUCUGUUUGUGGAACUAAGAGGAGAAUUGGGCUUUGGAGGGAGGACAGCGAAUUCAGUUUUGGAUAUGUCUGGGAUUGGGGGUGGCAGGGGGAAGCCCUGCUUUUGCACUAACCCAGUGCCUGUCUGGGUGAGUGGGUGAGGCUGUUUAUAGCACCAGGCACAGGCUCAUCAUCAGUUAACAGCCAUGGUUUAUUUUUCUCCCGGGUAUAGAAGAGGAUCUGUACUGUGGAUGUAAGGAAUUUGAGCUGGAAUAUGCCAGAGGAGUAUACCUUGGUUAGAAUCGAGAUGUGUGAUAACAAGAUUUAGCUUCUGAAUGCAGAGAAAAACAAACAAAAAUCAAAAUAUCUCAGUGUUAAAAAAAAAUCGUAGAAUUUCACUUGCACCAAUGGUUUUGUUUUACGAACUCCUUGACAUGCGUCUGUAGCAAAGCAAUUGCUUUGUUGCUGCGUCGAGGGGGAGCUUCCUGCAGGGCACACCUAGCAAAUGGUGCUUCUCAAAAGAUAUGCCAUCUCCCUGGGCUCUGAUUUUCUUCUCCUGGGGUCAAUAUUUCACUCUUGUCAGGAUAUUGCCUGAUGCCUGCCUGUCUCAAGCCCCAGAAGAGAGCCAUCUGUUGAGCUGUGGAAUGUUUUCAGCCACAAGUCAUACAUCAUUAUUCUAGCCAGGUCAUGCUGUUGCUUGUAGAAUUUUUUAUAGAUGGAGGUUCAGCUUAUGUUCUGAAUUAGAGGUUCUCAUCUGCCUGUGGCAAAUUGCAGCACAGGCUACUGGAAAUUCCCUCUGGUGAUUGGAAAUAUUUGGGAUAUUAUUUAUUUAGAUAUUCUACUACUCCUUUUAAGCAACUCUUUCUCCAUUCAAUCUUCGAAAGCAGAAGAGAGAGAGAGAGUGUGUAUGUGUGUGUGUGUGUGUGUGUGUGUGUGUGUGUAUUUGUUUGUUUGUUUUGGGUAAUCUCACACCAAAAGCAUUUUCCAUUUUCUUAUUAGGAACUUUCUCUUUGUCCAAAA